GCCCUAUGAUAUGAUCUUUCUAAUUUAAAUGCCAAAUUAUAGUUUGACUCAAUUUUACGGUUCACUGAACAUAGAAAAAUGAUAGUGCAAAUUUCAGGUUAAAGUUUUUGGUCAAGGUAGUUUUUGAUAAAGUAGAAGUCCAAUCAACUUGAAACUUAUUAUACAUGUUCCCAUUGAUAAGAUCAUUCUAAUUUUAAUGCCAAAUUAGAGAAUUUAUUCCAAUUUCACGGUCCACUAAACAUAGAAAAUGAUAGUGCGAGUGGGGCAUCCGUGUACUGUGGACACAUUCUUGUUUUGUAUAUAUAUAUAUGAUUAGAAUAAUUGUAUUUUAUUGAAUGAAUACAGAAACUGAAAAAUGUACCCAAAUAUUAAGCAUUACAGAUGGUUAUUAAUUAGCAUUUAAUUUCUCAUGUUAAGUGAAUACUCUUGAGAUGGAAAUGAGUAUAAAGUAAAUGUAUUCCUUUUGAUAAUUAAAGUUGACAAAUUAAGCAUGAAGAUAAUGUCAAAUGUAAGAUCAUGUAAACUUUGAGUUCCUCUGUAGGGCACACUUAAUGGUAAUAUGACUUUUUGUGGUUCUAAGAUCAGUAUGAAAUAAAUACUAUUUGUGAUUCAUAAACAGGUUUUCUUGUAAUUGUAACAGAAAUUUAUUAAUUAAACCAUCUCCAGGAAGUGAUAUAUUCAUUUGUCACGUUAAAAUAGAUUAAACAUACCCCUUGAAAUGGAUUGACUGGUUUACUUGAAUUUGUCCUAAGUCUGGGGGAAUUUUCCUCAUAUUUAUCUUAGAAACUACAAUCAGAGCUUUCUUAAAUUUGAUGACAAGCUUCAUGUGAAAUGUUGUAUGGUAUGUGUUAUGAUUUUGUUGUAAGGAAGACACAUCUUAGAUAUUGUAUUUUUCUAGUACAUUUUGAGUGAGAAAGAACAAUGAUGUAUAAUUAAAGGAAUGAACAAUAAUAAUACUUGACUAUUAUUCAUUAAUUUAUAAAUAUUUGCA
rnacentral:lncRNA from 1 species